UGAUUUUAAAUGUUUCAUUCUUCAUGCGAUUCUUUUAAGAUAUACAUCUCUGUAUACUGAGAAUUGUUGUCCUAAUCAUAUAAUAAACAUUGAGCUUAAUUUGUGACCUAGUGUCAAAAUGGUGAAAAGAUUGUGGGAAAAACAAUCUAAUUAAGGUAUAAUGACAAUGUUGAAUUAUCUGUUAUUCAAUCAUGAAGAGGUUUUCCAUGAUCUUUUGACAACAAUGGAACACUUGUACAUUAAUGCUUUUCAAAUAUCAAUCUUUUUAUGCAGGAAAAUGUAUGAGAUAAUAUUUAAUAAAAAAGAAAGAAAAAAAUUACUCAAUAUGAUGAACAGUGAUGUGUUAUUU
rnacentral:lncRNA from 1 species